rnacentral:snRNA from 1 species
AGUUGAGAAGGCUCUGCCUUCAGCAUCUGCUGCCCUAUGGAUCACCAGGGUUGACCUUUCUCUCCAUUCUGAAUGUGUCCCACUCAUAGCCAUGGGCUUGGUUGCAGGAACUGACCAUCUAAAGUAGACGAGCAGUGUUCUUUGGUCAAGGCCGUCUAAGUAGCUGCAUUCCCUUGCUGGAGCCUCUGAGCUCUCAGAGCCUAUGUAGAAGGAAGUAACCUGCUCUGUGUCAGGCACUGUGUGCUAGAUACUUCAUGUACCUUGUCUCAC